rnacentral:rRNA from 1 species
AACGAACGUUAGCGGCGCGCCUAACACAUGCAAGUCGAACGCGAUUGGGGGCAACUCCAGUCGAGUGGCGCACGGGUGAGUAACACGUAGGUAAUCUCCCCCCGAGUGGUGGAUAACCCACCGAAAGGAGAGCUAAUACAGCAUGAGACCACGGCUUCGAAAGGAGCUGAGGUCAAAGCGGAGGUCGCAAGACUUCGCGCUUGGGGAUGAGCCUGCGGCCCAUCAGGUAGUUGGCGGGGUAAUGGCCCACCAAGCCAUAGACGGGUAGCUGGUCUGAGAAGAUGAUCAGCCACACUGGAACUGAGACACGGUCCAGACUCCUACGGGAGGCAGCAGUGGGGAAUCUUGCGCAAUGGACGAAAGUCUGACGCAGCGACGCCGCGUGGGUGAUGAAGGCCUUCGGGUUGUAAAGCCCUGUGGGGAGGGACGAAUAAGUUCCGGUCAAUACCCGGAGCGAUGACGGUACCUCCUUAGCAAGCACCGGCUAACUCUGUGCCAGCCGCCGCGGUAAAAC